GCCUGGCUGUCUCAGUUGAUAGAGAAUGCAACUCUUAAUCUCAGUGUCAUGAGUUCAAGCCCCAUGUUGGGCA
rnacentral:tRNA from 1 species